AAGAAAUUAGAGAAUAUUAGUAGCACUUUUCAGUUGCUCGAGUGAUCGCCACUGGAGAAGCUCAUCAAACAGAGUGUACUCAAUGGUCAGGGUGAGCAAACAAGAAUAGGACGAUGACGUAGAAUUUUCUCCACUAGAGGUUAAUGGAGACUUGCACUUCUUAAAGGUUCUUCAAUUUAUAUCCGUGCAAUGUAGCUUCUCCCCCGAUAAGGCGAACCAAAGUGGUUCACCAGCUUUCAUUGGCAGAAUCACUAAGUCUUAUGCCCUAAACCUAAAAACAAAACCAGUUUCUGCUUUAAAGAGAAGAACAAAGUUCACGGCAAAGCUCAUUUGAUCUCGUGUCCUCGAGCAGUCUUAUUUAGUCCUGGUACUGGAGAUACUGAUCG
rnacentral:misc_RNA from 1 species